AUUGAACGCUGGCGGCAGGCCUAACACAUGCAAGUCGAACGAGUGGCGGACGGGUGAGUAAUGUCUGGGAAACUGCCUGAUGGAGGGGGAUAACUACUGGAAACGGUAGCUAAUACCGCAUACCAUCGGAUGUGCCCAGAUGGGAUUAGCUAGUAGGUGGGGUAACGGCUCACCUAGGCGACGAGCCCUAGCUGGUCUGAGAGGAUGACCACCCACACAGGAACAGGGACACGGUCCAGACGCCUACGCGAGUAAGCAGUGGGGAAUAUUGCACAGUGUGCUCAAACCUGAUGCAGCCAUGCGGCGUGUAUGAAGAAGGCCUUCGGGUUGUAGAGUACUUUCAGCGGGGAGGCGUUACCCGCAGAAGAAGCACCGGCUAACUCCGUGCCAGCAGCCGCGGUAAUUC
rnacentral:rRNA from 1 species